rnacentral:rRNA from 1 species
CAGCAGCCACGGUAAUACAGAGGGUGCAAGCGUUAAUCGGAAUUACUGGGCGUAAAGCGCGCGUAGGUGGUUUGUUAAGUUGGAUGUGAAAUCCCCGGGCUCAACCUGGGAACUGCAUCCAAAACUGGCAAGCUAGAGUAUGGUAGAGGGUGGUGGAAUUUCCUGUGUAGCGGUGUAAUGCGUAGAUAUAGGAAGGAACACCAGUGGCGAAGGCGACCACCUGGACUGAUACUGACACUGAGGUGCGAAAGCGUGGGGAGCAAACAGGAUUAGAUACCCCAGUAGUCCCUGUCUCUUAUAC